rnacentral:rRNA from 1 species
GAUGAACGCUGGCGGCGUGCCUAAUACAUGCAAGUCGAGCGAACGGACGAUAAGCUUGCUUCUCUGAUGUUAGCGGCGGACGGGUGAGUAACACGUGGAUAACCUACCUAUAAUACUGGGAUAACUUCGGGAAACCGGAGCUAAUACCGGCUAAUAUUUUGUACCGCAUGGUUCAAAAGUGAAAGACGGUCUUGCUGUCACUUAUAGAUGGAUCCGCGCUGCAUUAGCUAGUUGGUAAGGUAACGGCUUACCAAGGCAACGAUGCAUAGCCGACCUGAGAGGGUGAUCGGCCACACUGGAACUGAGACACGGUCCAGACUCCUACGGGAGGCAGCAGUAGGGAAUCUUCCGCAAAGGGCGAAAGCCUGACGGAGCAACGCCGCGUGAGUGAUGAAGGUCUUCGGAUCGUAAAACUCUGUUAUUAGGGAAGAACAUAUGUGUAAGUAACUGUGCACAUCUUGACGGUACCUAAUCAGAAAGCCACGGCUAACUACGUG